GCCAGCCGCCGCGGUAAUACCCGCGCCCCAAGUGGUGGUCGAUAUUAUUGAGCCUAAAACGUCCGUAGCCGGUCUUCUAAAUCCUUGGGUAAAUCGGGCAGCUCAACUGUCCGAAUUCCGGGGAGACUGGGAGACUUGGGACCGGGAGAGGUCAGAGGUACUUCUGGGGUAGGGGUAAAAUCCUGUAAUCCUGGAAGGACCACCGGUGGCGAAGGCGUCUGACUAGAACGGAUCCGACGGUGAGGGACGAAGCCCUGGGGCGCAAACGGGAUUAGAUACCCCGGUAGUCCAGGGUGUAAACGCUGCGGGCUUGGUGUUGGGGUCCUUAGUGGGCGCCCAGUGCCGGAGAGAAGUUGUUAAGCCUGCUGCUUGGGGAGUAUGUCCGCAAGGAUGAAACUUAAAGGAAUUGGCGGGGGAGCACCGCAAACCGGGAGGAGCGUGCGGUUCAAUUGGAUUCAACGCCGAAAAACUCACCAGGAGCGACGGAUAUAUGAAGGUCAAGCCGAUGACUUUACCUGAUUUUCCGAGGAGAGGUGGUGCAUGG
rnacentral:rRNA from 1 species